rnacentral:rRNA from 1 species
CCUACGGGAGGCAGCAGCAAGGAAUUUUCCCCAAUGGGCGCACGCCUGAGGGAGCAACGCCGCGUGGAAGAAGACGGCCUUCGGGUUGUAAACUUCUUUUGGGGGGGAAGAGCAUGACGGUACCCCCCGAAUCAGCCCCGGCUAACUCCGUGCCAGCAGCCGCGGUAAGACGGAGGGGGCGAGCGUUGUCCGGAAUCACUGGGCGUAAAGCGCGUGUAGGCGGUUGUGUGCGUCGGUGCUGAAAGCGCCCGGCUUAACCGGGCGAGGCGUGCCGAUACGAUGCGACUGGAGGCAGGCAGAGGGUGGCGGAAUUCCGGGUGUAGCGGUGAAAUGCGUAGAGAUCCGGAGGAACGCCGGUGGGGCAGCCGGCCACCUGGGCCUGACCUGACGGUGAGACGCGACAGCGUGGGGAGCAAACCGGAUUAGAUACCCGGGUAGUUCACGCCGUAAACGCUGCCGGCUCGGUGACCGGGCGCCGUUUUAGGCGCCUGGGCGCCUUAGCUCACGCGGUAAGCCGGCCGCCUGGGAGA